GAAUUAUGAUUACUAAUAAAAAGCUUCUAACUUUUUAAAAAGCGAUGAAACUCGUUUAUAAUUCU
rnacentral:tRNA from 1 species